rnacentral:rRNA from 1 species
UUACCUAGCGGCGGACGGGUGAGUAAUGCUUAGGAAUCUGCCUAUUAGUGGGGGACAACAUCUCGAAAGGGAUGCUAAUACCGCAUACGUCCUACGGGAGAAAGCAGGGGACCUUCGGGCCUUGCGCUAAUAGAUGAGCCUAAGUCGGAUUAGCUAGUUGGUGGGGUAAAGGCCUACCAAGGCGACGAUCUGUAGCGGGUCUGAGAGGAUGAUCCGCCACACUGGGACUGAGACACGGCCCAGACUCCUACGGGAGGCAGCAGUGGGGAAUAUUGGACAAUGGGGGGAACCCUGAUCCAGCCAUGCCGCGUGUGUGAAGAAGGCCUUUUGGUUGUAAAGCACUUUAAGCGAGGAGGAGGCUACCGAGAUUAAUACUCUUGGAUAGUGGACGUUACUCGCAGAAUAAGCACCGGCUAACUCUGUGCCAGCAGCCGCGGUAAUACAGAGGGUGCAAGCGUUAAUCGGAUUUACUGGGCGUAAAGCGCGCGUAGGUGGCCAAUUAAGUCAAAUGUGAAAUCCCCGAGCUUAACUUGGGAAUUGCAUUCGAUACUGGUUGGCUAGAGUAUGGGAGAGGAUGGUAGAAUUCCAGGUGUAGCGGUGAAAUGCGUAGAGAUCUGGAGGAAUACCGAUGGCGAAGGCAGCCAUCUAGCCUAAUACUGACACUGAGGUGCGAAAGCAUGGGGAGCAAACAGGAUUAGAUACCCUGGUAGUCCAUGCCGUAAACGAUGUCUACUAGCCGUUGGGGCCUUUGAGGCUUUAGUGGCGCAGCUAACGCGAUAAGUAGACCGCCUGGGGAGUAC